rnacentral:sRNA from 1 species
AUAAAUAAGCCCAACUAAAAAGCGGAAAAGAAAAACCCUACCCAGUUGCUUAGUGGUUUAUACUUCUAGACUUGGGCUCACACACUUUUGAGGGGAAAUGUCAUUACCAGAUGACUGCUAAUCUGUUUACUUGUUGCAGAUGACCUGGGCCCCUUCUCAGAGCUUCAGAACCGGGGUUCCCGACACUCAGGCCCCUUCUUUACCUUCUCUUCCUCCUUCCCUGGGCACUCCGAUUUCUCCUCCUCGUCUUUCUCCUUCAGUCCCGGGGCUGGUGCUUUUCGCUCUGUUUCUACAUCUACCACCUUUGUCCAAGGACGCCGCAUCACCACACGCAGAAUCAUGGAGAACGGGCAGGAGCGGGUGGAAGUGGAGGAGGAUGGGCAGCUGAAGUCAGUCACCAUCAAUGGUGUCCCAGAUGACCUGGCACUGGGCUUGGAGCUGAGCCGUCGCGAGCAGCAGCCGUCAGUCACUUCCAGGUCUGGGGGCACUCAGGUCCAGCAGACCCCUGCCUCAUGCCCCUUGGAUAGCGACCUCUCUGAGGAUGAGGACCUGCAGCUGGCCAUGGCCUACAGCCUGUCAGAGAUGGAAGCAGCUGGGAAGAAACCCGCAGGUGGGCGGGAGGCACAGCACCGACGGCAGGGGCGGCCCAAGGCCCAGCACCAAGAUCCAGGCUUGGGAGGGACACAGGAGGGUGUGAGGGGUGAAGCAACCAAACGCAGCCCAUCCCCAGAGGAGAAGGCCUCUCGCUGCCUCAUCCUCUGAACACCGGGCCCAACCUGAUCUGAUCCAGGUCUUGACUUGGGGUCUGACUCACUGUGGGAAGAGAAGAGGGGAGUAUCCUGAGUUGUAGGAACUGCUUUCCAACUCCAUGCUCCCUCCACAAGUUUCCCUCCCAGGCCCCCUGCACCCCAGUGUGGACUUGGGAUUUGCUGUGCUCAGCCCAGGGCUGAUAGGUCCCUGGUGAAGCCCA